rnacentral:tRNA from 1 species
AUUUAAAUAGUUUAAUAAAAUAUUGGUCUGUGAAUCCAGAGAUGCGCUCGUGUGCUUUAAAUA